UUAAGGGUAUUUAAUUCUAGAAAACAGCUAAAUUUUAAUGUUUAACGGUAUUGUUUACAAUUUUCAUUGUCUUAGGCCCUGGGUAUACCAUGGUAGAUGUUUCUAAGUUUGACUUAUCAGAUUAUGGGUUAAGUCUCAGUCAGUCUGAUAAGUUGUCUUAUUGUAAGAAACUGUCGGGAUUAAGUUUAAUACUUUCGGAAUAGAGAAAAAUUUUCCUUGGUGAUUCCGCCGUGUAUGAUGACACCCUUUUAUAACGCAGCUCAUUUUUCACAUAAUGUAAACAAUACCGUUAAACAUUAAAAUUUAGCUGUUUUCUAGAAUUAAAUACCCUUAAUUUAAUAUUAAAAUUGGCACGUUCGCACUUUCCCUCUCCCCCUCUCCCACCCACCAGGUGAUCUCACUUUGAAACACCCCCUCAAAAAGCUAUGACAAGGCCUUACGGCCAAAUCCAACAGGGUGGUUCUACCAUAUACUCUUAUACCAUGACGACUCAAAUUGACAAGUGACAACGUAUUCGUGCAAUUCAUUGUACAUCAGGUUGGAGCCAUUGUAAAUUAGUUUGGCUAAUUAUCCCGCCUUGUUGAAAUGGUGUGCAGCACAAACAGAGAUUUUAUGUCAGCCUUUUAGAGAGCGGACACAAUUAAACCGGGUUCAUCCCUCCUAGAAUCCAUGCUGAUGUUGGACAGCACAGCCCAACUACCAAGAGCAUACCCCAUGGUUAAUCACCCUGCAAGUCAAGCUGCAGCCAAAGCGCUAUCAAAAUCAUGGGGCAGCCACGGAAUAAUGGCAGAGGAUACAACCAGUGGGGGUUCCAAUGUCAGUGUGAGACUCCCAAUCCACACCGUGUCGACAAGCUUUGGAGUUCUUGGCAGUGGUUCUCUCAGUUUGAAGAGGAAUAACGUUGUGGGUAGACUCGUGAAGACAGAUCUCAGUGGAACCGGAAGAGUGUUGACCCAAAGAAAGAAUUCUAGCGUGAAAUUCAAACAGUUGAGCAGUGGGGCAAUGGCAUCAGUGUUUGGGGGGCCCGUGAAAGGCCUGAAGAAAGCUCUGGAGGAGGUUUCCACACUGUCGCAGUCACCAACCAGGGAUCUACCAGUGCAGAUACACCUGUAGGCUCGUCGUCGCAGUCGUCGGAUUGCACCUUGGAUUUAGCGUCGGAUCAGGGGGCCAACGGUUCGAUGGGGGGUGGCGACAGUGAAUUGGAAUUAAUUGAAGAAACAUGGCCGGGAAAAGUGUGUACGUUUUGCAACCUAGGCGAAAGCAGUCAGCUGGGACAGGGUGAAAUGCUGAGGCUGGAAGUGGGCUAGGAUUUUGAAAGUUUACGCCAGAGCACGUUGUACAGUGAGUAGCGUCUCCAAUCGCUGGCCGCCAAUGCCGGGGCUGUCAGCACCAAUAAGACGUCGCUGGGCCCCUGCCCAGUCGGCGGCAAUACUUCCAGCAGUCAUUUGGUGGCCACCUCUUUGCAGCCGUUCCGCAUCAAGAAACCGCGACUGGCGCGACGCGUUGACGCGUCGCAAUCGUUUUGCUCUGAACUCCAAGAGGAGUUGAUGGCCGUGGGCUACGCAGAAGAGCUGCAUCUGCUGGCCAUCGUCGAGCCUUGCGGCUACUUUUACGCUCACCGGAUGUGCGCCAUUUGGUCGAAGGGCGUCAAGGUGGUGAACAACGACGACACCAACGCCGGCCCCAGUGUAGUGUCGGUUUGCUCGGCCAGCAGUUGGCCAGAAGUUGCCGGAGCCGAUUCCGCUCUGAUCCAGGCCGCCUUCCUACGAUGCCACUUAUGCGGCUCUUUCGGCGCCUCCCUCUCCUGUCAACAGGCCACGACCGGGGGCACUGUAUGGCCGAAAUCUUUCCACUUUCCCUGCGGAUGAAGCUUUUUUGAACGCCAAAACGAGAGGAUUGCAUUGUCCGGAUCAUAUUCAUCAGGGAUCGAUCAUGGCCGGCCCAUCAGACGCCAAUUGUGCCGUCUGGCAUUCCCAAUCCAAUGUGGCCAAUCAGCUCUUUUGCGUGACCUGCGGAAAACAUUACCACGGCUCCUGUGUCGGACUGGGUAGCAGCCCGGGAGUCUGAACGGCCUGGCAAUGCAACGAGUGCAAAGCGAUUUUCUACGUUUAAACAAGGUAAUUAAUUGUUGUCUUAUGUCCGUGAAGUCCUGCACAGUAAUCAGGCAUACAAGUACGUGUGUUCCCAAAUGUCACACAGAGAUGGGCAUGGCCCAAUAAUACAAAGAAUAUGAUCCUCAAUACGAUCAUCACUUCUAUUAUCCUCCAGGGAUCUAAUGAGUAUCCUUAUGUAUAUUCAACAAUAAUUGUAUACCUGGUUAACUAAUGUUAAGUGUUAACUUUCGAUUUUGAGUCGUAGGUUUUGUUUAGUCGUUUUUAAAGUUUGUGAAAUUGCGACUUGUUACUUUUGAGUUGAAUAACUAAAAAACUCAGAACAGCCUGGAAUUAAAUUACAGUGUUUUGUUUACAAUACAUUGAAGACC